rnacentral:rRNA from 1 species
UACGGAGGGAGCUAGCGUUGUUCGGAAUUACUGGGCGUAAAGCGCACGUAGGCGGCUACUCAAGUCAGAGGUGAAAGCCCAGGGCUCAACCUUGGAACUGCCUUUGAAACUAGGUAGCUAGAAUUCUGGAGAGGUCAGUGGAAUUCCGAGUGUAGAGGUGAAAUUCGUAGAUAUUCGGAAGAACACCAGUGGCGAAGGCGACUGACUGGACAGAUAUUGACGCUGAGGUGCGAAAGCGUGGGGAGCAAACAGGG